GAUUAAAAAUUGAGUGUUGGGGCUGG
rnacentral:piRNA from 1 species